CUUCGGGCCUCACGCCAUCGGAUGUGCCCAGAUGGGAUUAGCUAGUAGGUGGGGUAAUGGCUCACCUAGGCGACGAUCCCUAGCUGGUCUGAGAGGAUGACCAGCCACACUGGAACUGAGACACGGUCCAGACUCCUACGGGAGGCAGCAGUGGGGAAUAUUGCACAAUGGGCGCAAGCCUGAUGCAGCCAUGCCGCGUGUGUGAAGAAGGCCUUCGGGUUGUAAAGCACUUUCAGCGAGGAGGAAGGCAUAAAGGUUAAUAACCUUUGUGAUUGACGUUACUCGCAGAAGAAG
rnacentral:rRNA from 1 species